CAGUAGCCGCGGUAAUACGUAGGUGGCAAGCGUUGUCCGGAAUUAUUGGGCGUAAAGGGCUCGCAGGCGGUUUCUUAAGUCUGAUGUGAAAGCCCCCGGCUCAACCGGGGAGGGUCAUUGGAAACUGGGAAACUUGAGUGCAGAAGAGGAGAGUGGAAUUCCACGUGUAGCGGUGAAAUGCGUAGAGAUGUGGAGGAACACCAGUGGCGAAGGCGACUCUCUGGUCUGCAACUGACGCUGAGGAGCGAAAGCGUGGGGAGCGAACAGGAUUAGAUACCCCCGUAGUCCCCUGUCUCUUAUA
rnacentral:rRNA from 1 species